GCGCUGGGGACGGAAAACCGGUCCGACGCCGCCGGGGAAACGGGCUGCAAAGCCCACCGCCUCCGGGCGGCCCGCCGGGAUCCGGUUUCAACGGCGAGGCUGGAGGAGAUGCCUUGGUAGCCGGUUUGGGGGUGAUCUCUUGCAGGGCUCCAUGCCCCCCCCCCCCCAACAACUCUUUCAGACUGCGAGCCCGUCAUUGGGCAGGGAUGGUCUCGAUCCGUUGCCGAACUGGACGUUCCAAGCGCUUAGCACAGUGCCCUGCACCUAGGAAGCGCUCAGUAAAUACGACUGAAUGAACUGCUGGGGCCGGGAAUUUUAGGAACGAAGACCCUCGGUUGUGCAAUUAGAUCUGCGGACCUCGCGGAAAAGGGGUACAAAAACAGGCCCGGCCCGGAGAGGGAUUUCAUAGGCGUGUGAUUUUCGACAGAUCUUCCCUCCCCGACCCCUCUAACGUCGGGGUUUUCACCACCGGCCCCGCGGGAGGAAAAACGCCCCAGUCCCCAGCUCUUUCCAUCUUCUGAUGCGAUUUUAUUUCAGCCGCCUCGGUUUGCGGGGAACAGCAUCCGCGAGGCCCGCGCUUCCCGGGUUCCGGCCUCCAAGAGCCACCUCCCCGCCUUUUUCCGCCGGCUGGGUCCCGGGCGCGACACCGGGCACCUCAGGCCUACCCUGUCAGACUCAGGGCACAGAAGAGAAAAUUGGUUAUGGAGAAGUGGCUUUAAUUAAAACUUGUUUUUCCCGUCUGC